CCUACGGGAGGCAGCAGUGGGGAAUUUUCCGCAAUGGGCGAAAGCCUGACGGAGCAACGCCGCGUGAGGGAUGAAGGCCUCUGGGCUGUAAACCUCUUUUAUCAAGGAAGAAGAUCUGACGGUACUUGAUGAAUAAGCCACGGCUAAUUCCGUGCCAGCAGCCGCGGUAAUACGGGAGUGGCAAGCGUUAUCCGGAAUUAUUGGGCGUAAAGCGUCCGCAGGCGGCCUGACAAGUCUGCUGUUAAAGCGUGGAGCUUAACUCCAUUUCAGCAGUGGAAACUGUCAGGCUUGAGUGUGGUAGGGGCAGAGGGAAUUCCCGGUGUAGCGGUGAAAUGCGUAGAUAUCGGGAAGAACACCAGUGGCGAAAGCGCUCUGCUGGGCCAUCACUGACGCUCAUGGACGAAAGCCAGGGGAGCGAAAGGGAUUAGAUACCCCUGUAGUCCUGGCCGUAAACGAUGAACACUAGGUGUCGGGGGAAUCGACCCCUCCGGUGUCGUAGCCAACGCGUUAAGUGUUCCGCCUGGGGAGUACGCACGCAAGUGUGAAACUCAAAGGAAUUGACGGA
rnacentral:rRNA from 1 species